UAGCUACAGGCUUAACACAUGCAAGUCGAGGGGAAACGAUAUUGGAAGCUUGCUUCCGAUAGGCGUCGACCGGCGCACGGGUGAGUAACGCGUAUCCAACCUGCCCACCACUUGGGGAUAACCUUGCGAAAGUAAGACUAAUACCCAAUGAUAUCUCUAGAAGACAUCUGAAAGAGAUUAAAGAUUUAUCGGUGAUGGAUGGGGAUGCGUCUGAUUAGCUUGUUGGCGGGGUAACGGCCCACCAAGGCAACGAUCAGUAGGGGUUCUGAGAGGAAGGUCCCCCACAUUGGAACUGAGACACGGUCCAAACUCCUACGGGAGGCAGCAGUGAGGAAUAUUGGUCAAUGGACGAGAGUCUGAACCAGCCAAGUAGCGUGCAGGAAGACGGCCCUAUGGGUUGUAAACUGCUUUUAUAAGGGAAUAAAGUGAGUCUCGUGAGACUUUUUGCAUGUACCUUAUGAAUAAGGACCGGCUAAUUCCGUGCCAGCAGCCGCGGUAAUACGGAAGGUCCGGGCGUUAUCCGGAUUUAUUGGGUUUAAAGGGAGCGUAGGCCGGAGAUUAAGCGUGUUGUGAAAUGUAGACGCUCAACGUCUGCACUGCAGCGCGAACUGGUUUCCUUGAGUACGCACAAAGUGGGCGGAAUACGUGGUGUAGCGGUGAAAUGCUUAGAUAUCACGAAGAACUCCGAUUGCGAAGGCAGCUCACUGGAGCGCAACUGACGCUGAAGCUCGAAAGUGCGGGUAUCGAACAGGAUUAGAUACCCUGGUUAGUCCGCACGGUAAACGAUGGAUGCCCGCUGUUGGUCUGAAUAGGUCAGCGGCCAAGCGAAAGCAUUAAGCAUCCCACCUGGGGAGUACGCCGGCAACGGUGAAACUCAAAGGAAUUGACGGGGGCCCGCACAAGCGGAGGAACAUGUGGUUUAAUUCGAUGAUACGCGAGGAACCUUACCCGGGCUUGAAUUGCAGAGGAAGGAUUUGGAGACAAUGACGCCCUUCGGGGCCUCUGUGAAGGUGCUGCAUGGUUGUCGUCAGCUCGUGCCGUGAGGUGUCGGCUUAAGUGCCAUAACGAGCGCAACCCCUCUCCUUAGUUGCCAUCAGGUCAAGCUGGGCACUCUGGGGACACUGCCACCGUAAGGUGUGAGGAA
rnacentral:rRNA from 1 species